rnacentral:tRNA from 1 species
GGGGCUGUGGCUCAGUGGCAGGGUAUCUGCUGGGAAUGUGGAAGUUCCCAGGUUCAAUCCUGGCAUCUCUG